rnacentral:tmRNA from 1 species
GGGGGUGGGUUGGUUUUGACAGCAAGGUAAAUGAUUUUGUAAGCACGCAGGCACAGGUAACAAAUGCCUUAAAUAAGGUUGCAAACAAUUAAUUGGCGAAAAUAAUUACGCUUUUGCAGCUUAACCGAAAUAGAGUAGGUUAGCGUAUGGACACAAAGUUGUCCAGCAAGACAUCUCUCCAAAGCCUUCGCUCUGCGGCUAAGGAUUAAGAGGUGCUCGGAUAGCAGAGAUAGUUAUUUAAGAGUUUCGAUUGAAUAACAAAAUUUUAGAAACUAAGCUUUGAAUAGGGUGUUUGUCCUCAGUUCAUUGACGAAAACUAAUGACAAAAUAAGCGUGUAGAAAGCAAAGUUGUUUCUUGUUUGGACCAGGGUUCGAAUCCCUGCACCUCCACAU